AACGAACGCUGGCGGCAUGCCUAACACAUGCAAGUCGAACGAGACCUUCGGGGUUAGUGGCGCACGGGUGCGUAACGGGUAGGAACCUGCCCUUAGGUUCGGAAUAACUGCCCGAAAGGGGGAGAACUACCGGAUAAUGUCUCUGGUCCAAAGGUUUAUCACCGUUGGAUGGGCACGCGUUGGAUUAGCUAAUUGGUACGGUAAAAGGCUACGACGGCGACGAUCCAUAGCUGGUCUGAGAGGAUGAUCAUACACACUGGGACGAGGACACGGCACAGACUCCUACGGGAGGCAGCAGUGGGGAAUAUUGGACAGUGGGCGAAAGCCUGAUGCAUCAAGGCCGCGUGAGUGAUGAAGUCAUUAGGGUUGUAAAGCUCUUUUACCCUGGAUAGUAAUGACGGUACCGAGAGAGUAAGCUCCGGCUAACUCCGUG
rnacentral:rRNA from 1 species